GACGAACGCUGGCGGCGCGCCUAACACAUGCAAGUCGAACGGAGCUGAGAGAAGCUUGCUUUUCUUAGCUUAGUGGCGAACGGGUGAGUAACGCGUGAGUAACCUGCCCUGGAGUGGGGGACAACAGUUGGAAACGACUGCUAAUACCGCAUAAGCCCACGAUCCGGCAUCGGAUUGAGGGAAAAGGAUUUAUUCGCUUCAGGAUGGACUCGCGUCCAAUUAGCUAGUUGGUGAGGUAACGGCCCACCAAGGCGACGAUUGGUAGCCGGACUGAGAGGUUGAACGGCCACCUUGGAACUGAGACACGGCCCAGACUCCUACGGGAGGCAGCAGUGGGGGAUAUUGCACAAUGGGGGAAACCCUGAUGCAGCGACGCCGCGUGGAGGAAGAAGGUUUUCAGAUUGUAAACUCCUGUCGUUAGGGACGAUAAUGACGGUACCUAACAAGAAAGCACCGGCUAACUACGUG
rnacentral:rRNA from 1 species